AGGCUGAUUCAUAAUGAGUGGUGGUUGGUGCAGUAAGGAACUGGCUGAGUUGUUGAGUGACAAAAGCAAUGUCUGGUCUUGUGGUAGUAAGAUAUAUGAGCUUUCCUACCAAUCUUCUGUAACUGAGAAUAUCAGUAAAUGGCUUGCUAGUGUCUUGAUGCAAUUUAAUGGAAGGAUCAAGAGGUGUUGGUAAAGGUUUGGAACCAAGUAGGC
rnacentral:lncRNA from 1 species